rnacentral:rRNA from 1 species
UAGGGAAUCUUCCACAAUGGGCGAAAGCCUGAUGGAGCAACGCCGCGUGAGUGAGGAAGGCUUUCGGGUCGUAAAGCUCUGUUGCCAGGGAAGAAUAAGGGUGAGAGUAACUGCUCACUCGAUGACGGUACCUGAGAAGAAAGCCCCGGCUAACUACGUGCCAGCAGCCGCGGUAAUACGUAGGGGGCAAGCGUUGUCCGGAAUUAUUGGGCGUAAAGCGCGCGCAGGCGGUUCUUUAAGUCUGGUGUCUAAGUGCGGGGCUCAACCCCGUGAUGCACUGGAAACUGGAGAACUUGAGUGCAGAAGAGGAGUGCGGAAUUCCACGUGUAGCGGUGAAACGCGUAGAGAUGUGGAGGAACACCAGUGGCGAAGGCGGCUCUCUGGACUGUAACUGACGCUGAGGCGCGAAAGCGUGGGGAGCAAACAGGAUUAGAUACCCUGGUAGUCCACGCCGUAAACGAUGAGUGCUAGGUGUUGGGGGUAUCAUGCCCUCGGUGCCGAAGUUAACACAUUAAGCACUCCGCCUGGGGAGUACGGUCGCAAGAC